GUGCUCACUUCGGCAGCACAUGCACUGAAACUGGAACGAGGCAGAGAAUAAUGAUUAGCAUGGCCCCUGCGCAAAGAUGACACACAAAUUCGUGAAGCAUUCCAUAUUUUU